CCUACGGGGCGCAGCAGUGAGGAAUAUUGGUCAAUGGGCGUAAGCCUGAACCAGCCAAGUCGCGUGAGGGAUGAAGGUUCUAUGGAUCGUAAACCUCUUUUAUAAGGGAAUAAAGUGCGGGACGUGUCCCGUUUUGUAUGUACCUUAUGAAUAAGGAUCGGCUAACUCCGUGCCAGCAGCCGCGGUAAUACGGAGGAUCCGAGCGUUCUCCGGAUUUAUGGGGUUUAAAGGGUGCGUAGGCGGCCUUUUAAGUCAGCGGGGAAAGUCUGUGGCUCAACCAUAGAAUUGCCGUUGAAACUGGGAGGCUUGAGGAUGUUUGAGGCAGGCGGAAUGCGUGGGGUAGCGGUGAAAUGCUUAGAUAUCACGCAGAACCCCGAUUGCGAAGGCAGCCUGCCAAGCCAUGACUGACGCUGAUGCACGAAAGCGUGGGGAUCAAACAGGAUUAGAUACCCGGGUAGUC
rnacentral:rRNA from 1 species